AAACAGCUAGCUUAUCCACCAAUAUAACCAAAUAAUAUAAAUAAAAUAGAAUAGGCCGAACACCAAAAACUAAACCAUUCUUUUACCUGAGUAUGGGAGACAGAAAAGGUUCAACCAAAGCAAUAGAAAUAGUACCGCAAGGGAAAGCUGAAAGAGAAAUGAAAUAACCCAUAUAAGUAAUAAAAAGCAAAGACUAAACCUUGUACCUUUUGCAUCAUGAUUUAGCCAGUAAACACAAGCAAAGAGACCUUUAGUUUGAAACCCCGAAACCAGGUGAGCUACCCCGAGACAGCCUAUUAAGGGCCAACCCGUCUCUGUGGCAAAAGAGUGGGAAGAGCUCCGGGUAGAAGUGACAGACCUACCGAACCUGGUGAUAGCUGGUUGCCUAAGAAAUGAAUAGAAGUUCAGCCUCGUACACCUCAAAUCAAAUAAACACCAAUCAAGACACCAAGAGAAAGACACGAGAGUUAGUUAAAGGGGGUACAGCCCCUUCAACAAAGGACACAACCUUAUUCAGGAGGAUAAAGAUCAUAAUAUAUAAAACAUACUGUUCUAGUGGGCCUAAAGGCAGCCACCUAAACAGAAAGCGUUAAAGCUCAGACAGAAAAAAGUUUAUUAUUCUGAUAAAAAAUCUUACUCCCCUAAAUACUAUUAGGCUAAUCCAUGCCCCCAUGGAAGAAAUUAUGCUAAAAUGAGUAACAAGAAGGCCCGCCCUUCUCCAAGCACAAGUGUAAGCCAAACCGGACCAACCAUUGGCAACUAACGAACUCAACCCAAGAGAGCAAUGUGAACCAUAAAAAAAACAAGAAAAACCCACAACUCAACAAUCGUUAACCCCACACUGGAUUGCUAUUAAAGGAAAGACUAAAAGAAAAGGAAGGAACUCGGCAAACACAAGCCUCGCCUGUUUACCAAAAACAUCGCCUCCUGCAACGCAGCCAUGUAUAGGAGGUCCAGCCUGCCCAGUGACUACAAGUUCAACGGCCGCGGUAUUUUGACCGUGCAAAGGUAGCGCAAUCACUUGUCUUUUAAAUAGA
rnacentral:rRNA from 1 species